AGGUUGCAUAUGUUACAGAAAUGAACAUUAAAUUCUCUGGCAACAGCUCUGGUGGACAUUCCUGCAGUCAGCAUGCCAAUUGCACACUCCUUCAAAACUUGAGACAUCUGUGGUAUUGUGUUGUGUGACAAAUGGCACAUUUUGGAGCCGCCUUUUAUUAUCCCCAGAUGUCUCACAUGUCAGCUUGAUGGAUUAUCUUGGCAAAGGAGAAAUGCUCACUAACAGGGAUGUAAACAAAUUUGUACACAACAUUUUUGAGAAAUAAGCUUUUUGUGUGUAUGAAAAAUGUCUGGGAUCUUUUAUUUCAGCUCAUGAAACAUGGGACAAAACACUUUACAUGUUGCAUUUAUAUUUUGGUUCAGUGUAUACGGGGGAAAAUACUGGACUUCACAAGCGAUCCCAAAUGAUGUUUAAUUAACUCAAGAUAUAGAAGAGUUAUUCUAUAAGGCAACAUCAGACAUGCUCAUUUGAAUGAUAAGCCAACAGAACAAACGAUAGAGAACUGCAGGUAAAAUUCACAAACUGCUCCACAUAAACAGAAACAAACUCAGAAUUUCAUUUCAGAACGUUUCAUUCCACCAUUCUACUCUGUCGCUAGUGACUAGCUAAGGCCCCUGAGUUUUUCUUUGUCUGGUUAUGUGGUUAGGCCAGAAAAAAACUCCUGGCCCAACAGAUGAUUUAGGCCUAUAGAGCCAUUUUACAUACACAUCAGCCAUUGACCGAGGCCAUUUCCCUGGAGAAUAACUAUAGUCCAUCACCAUCAGUACUCCCAGCUGUUGAAGGAACAAAAACAGCCUACUUCCCUAAAGGCCUAAACAUGACAUAACAUAACAAUGCUGCCUCGUCAAUAUGAAGAUUCGGACCGCCAUUAGAAUCCACUAGAAUUAGGGCCUUGAUCAUGUCUUGCAAAUCCAAGGUAAACCCAUCACAACACCUCCUCAGGGUUAAGGUUAGUUUAGCUUCAGUGAUUGCCUUUAUAUACUUUAGCUAUGGCAAUGAUCAUUCUAGAACUAUUUACUUCUAGAAUGUUCUACAGUACCCACCACACACCCACCUCGUACAAGUCCCAGCAUGUUGGUUCUAUAAUGGGGUUAAAUCUAACGAUGCAACAGUCACCUACAGGCCAUGUGGUUUCAGCUGUGACAACCCAUCAUCUCUUUACCUUAUCUCCAGCUAGCAGGUGGCAGGUGGUGGUGGUGGGCCCUCAUAUGAUUAUUCAACUCGAGAAAUUAAAAAUUAAAAAUGUUCUACACCGAUUGGCUUCAUGUAAUUUGGAAAUGCUUCUCAAGAAAUUUCUAGAAAAUAACAGAGUAUCUAAUUACUCCGAUAGGGCUUCAUAUUAUUUGGAAAUUUAGUUUCAGUUGUGUUACACCGUUAACUUCAAUGACACGUGUACCAGUUGUUUUGAAGAGAUAAAAGCACCAGUUUUUGGCAUAGAGUUGGAGUCCUGGCGAAAUGUGCCAUUUGUAAACGUUACUUUUGUUGAUGAGUCAUAUGUAAGGUCGUAUGAUCCAUAUUUUCACCAAGUAAAAAUUCAGAAAAACAAGUGGUUUCUAUCCAUCCAUAAGUUAGCUUGAUUGACAGAACAAGUCAGUGUUUGUGUAUAACUCCCCUCCUCUAACUGGACACACACAUUGGCUCAUAUUAUAGCUAUGGUUACGGUAAUAUAUAGUUCAGAAUCUGAUACAGUUAUCUGACAGCAUACAUAUCAUUCAACAUGACCUUAAAAUAACUAUGAAAGUGUACAUAUUCUGUAUAAAUAAAAUAAAAUAAAAUUGUAUUUGACACAUGCUUUGUAAACAACA
rnacentral:lncRNA from 1 species